GACGAACGCUGGCGGCGUGCUUAACACAUGCAAGUCGAACGGUGAAGCGCCUUCCUUUUUGGUUGGUGUGGAUGAGUGGCGAACGGGUGAGUAACACGUGAGUAACCUGCCCCCUUCUUCUGGAUAACCGCAUGAAAGUGUGGCUAAUACGGGAUAUUCUGGGUCUGUCGCAUGAUGGGUCUGGGAAAGAUAUUGUUUCGGUGGGGGAUGGGCUCGCGGCCUAUCAGCUUGUUGGUGGGGUGAUGGCCUACCAAGGCGGUGACGGGUAGCCGGCCUGGGAGGGUAGACGGUCACAGUGGGAGUGAGACCAGGCUCGGACUGAUACGGGAGGCAGACGUGGAGAAUAUUGCACAAUGGGCGAAAGUCUGAUGCAGCGACGACGCGUGAGCGACGGCGGCCUUCGGGUGGUGAAGCUCUUUGGCUAGUGAAGCACGCCUGCCUCGUUUGUGGGUGGGUUGACGGUAGCUGGAUAAGAAGCGCCGGCUAACUACGUG
rnacentral:rRNA from 1 species